CACGAGUGGAAACAAUAAAAAGGAGAAAAAUCUCAUCACUUUUUGUCACUUAACAUGCGCACCAGUGACGAUGGAUAUGGUCCAGAGGCAAACACAAGUCAUGAGCAAAGAGCAUUUGAGAUAUUCCCUCUGUGGUCCAGUGAGUCUGGCGGCAGAACACAGUUCAACACUGAGAGAAGAGCUUUGUUUUCAAGUGUCGGAAUGAAGACACCGUCAGUGAGGAGUGAUAAAAGCAAAAA